ACUCAUGCGCUGCGCAAUUUCAAGUGGGCGUUUGUUGACAGUGCGUGUUGGUGAUGCGCGCAUUGUGGACGCGAGGAGCGGUGGGAUACAACUGAACAACUGAAAAAGAUUCAAAAUUAGGAGGUUCUCGGAAAAAGAAAAUCCAUAUCAUCAUCCCCUGUACAGUAAAGGACGACCUAUUUAGGCCAAGUCAAAAUGUCCCUCCAGACAAAACAAGUCAGAGUCCAGGUCCUCAACGAUAUGGAACAGCUGGGAAGGACACUCUUCCGCCUGGACCAAGGCUUUGAGCUCCAGUUCCGUCUGGGCCCUACUCUCCAGGGAAAACAUGUGCAUGUGCACACUAACUACCCUGCUCCGGGCAAACACUUUGACCGUCACACCUUCCAGGCCCUGGCCUGGCACAACCCCAUGGGAAGAGAGGACGACUCUGACAAGUUUUGCACCUAGACCUACAGAUCGCUGGAUCAUACCAAUACUACUUUGGUCAUGGCCAUGAGGAGAAGUCAGGCGGUGGCUACAUAGUGGUGGACCCAGUGCUGCGUGCCGGGGCUGACAACCACCACGUCCAUCUGGACUGUAUCACCAUCCAGACCUACCUGUCCAAAUGCCUGGGACACCUGGAUGACUGGCCAGCCAGACUGAGGGUGGCCAAGGAGUCUGGCUACAACAUGAUCCACUUCACCCCACUCCAGACUCUAGGGAUAUCCAGGUCCUGCUACUCUCUAGCUGACCAACUAAGCCUGAACCCAGAGUUUUCACCACCGGGAAAGAACUACACCUGGACAGAAGUGGGAGAGUUGGUGCAGAAACUGAAGAAAGAGUGGAAUAUGAUCUGUAUCACUGACGUGGUCUACAAUCACACAGCCGCCAACAGCCCGUGGAUCAAGGAGCAUCCUGAGUGUGGUUACAACCUAGUCAACUCCCCCCACCUGAGGUCAGCCUGGGUGCUGGACCGGGCCAUAUGGCACAUGACCUGCAACAUGGCUGACGCUAAGUACGCUGCUAUGGGCCUCCCCGCCCAGGUCCAAAACGAGGGGCACCUCAAUGCGAUCCGCAGUGUUUUGUGGGAGCAUGUGUUCCCCAAGGUCAAGCUGUGGGAAUUCUUCCAGGUCAAAAUCGAGUGCACUGUGGAGGAGUUCAGGACCCUGCUCACAGAAGGAGCGAAACCAGACCAGAAGAAGACUGAGGGUAAACAGGGACUUAAGAUCAUCCAGGACCCCAAGUUCAGGCGGUUCGGAAAUAAAGUGGACAUGGACUCUGCUCUGGAGACCUUUGUGCCUCACAGCCGCAGUCCUCAAGCCAUUCUGGAGGCCUGUAACUGGCUGUGGGGGAGAUUGGAGGAGAUGAAUAAAGAGCAGUACCAGCAGAUGUUACAGCACCAGGAGCAGGCUGCUAACUGCAUUGUGGGAAAUGUAGUUUAUGAGCGCCUGGCUGACCAUGGGCCCAAGCUGGGCCCCGUCUCCAGGAAAGACCCUAUUGUUACCAGAUACUUCACCUUCCCAUUCGAGGAGAAAAGCCUGGAGGAAGACCUGCUGAUGAUGGACCAGCCAGACAAGGCCCGUCACUUCCUGGCUCACAACGGCUGGGUGAUGGGAGAUGACCCUCUUAGGAACUUUGCUGAGCCAGGCUCCAACGUGUACAUCAGGAGAGAGUUGAUCUGCUGGGGCGACAGCGUCAAACUUCGCUACGGCAACAAGCCCGAGGACUGUCCCUACCUGUGGGCCCACAUGCAGAAGUACACAGAGAUCACGGCCAAGCACUUCGCUGGGGUCCGCCUGGACAACUGUCACUCCACCCCACUGCAUGUCGCUGAGUACAUGUUGGACGUGGCUCGUGUGUUGAGGCCCAGUCUGUACGUGGUGGCUGAGCUGUUCACGGGCAGCGAGGACCUGGACAAUGUCUUUGUGACUAAGCUAGGCAUUACCUCGCUCAUCAGAGAGGCAAUGAGUGCAGGGGACAGUCACGAGGAGGGCAGGCUUGUGUACCGGUACGGAGGGGAGCCUGUCGGGGCCUUCGUCCAGCCCAGCCUCCGCCCCCUGGUGCCCAGCAUCGCCCACGCCAUGUUCCUGGACGUCACCCAUGACAACGAGUGCCCCAUCCAGCUCCGCUCUUCGUAUGACUCACUCCCCAGUUCUGCCAUCGUCUCAAUGGCCUGCUGUUGCUCUGGCAGCACCAGGGGAUAUGAUGAGAUGGUGCCUCACCAGAUCUCAGUGGUCAAGGAGGAGCGUUUCUACCCCAAGUGGAACCCUGAAGCCAAGGCCUCGUCACCUGGGGAGGUCAACUUGAAGACGGGUAUCAUCGCUGGCAAGCUGGCCCUCAACAAAAUGCACCAGGAACUGGCUUCCAAGGGCUUCAACCAGGUGUACGUUGACCAGGUGGACGAGGACAUUGUAGCGGUGACACGUCACUGUCCCAGUACCCACCAGUCUGUGGUGGCCGUGUGUCGCACUGCCUUCCAUAACCCCAAACACCACCAGUACAGGAAGGAGGUUCCACCCAUGUUUAUCCCUGGUAAAAUUGAGGAGGUCAUUCUGGAGGCGCGUAUCAUUGACCGGCAAGCCGGCACCUACAAGAAGUGCGAGAAGUACAUCAACGGCAUGCCGGAGUACACCGUGGAGAUUAAGGAGCACAUCCAGCUGAAAGAUAGUGGUGUUGUAAAACACGCAGGCGUGACGUCUAAGGGCAGCAGUGAGUUUGUCCAGGAGAUCAUCUUCGAGCGCCUCACCCCUGGCAGCGUCAUCGCUUUCAGGGUGAGUCUGGACCCUAAGGCUCAGGGGCUGGUGGGAGUCAUCAGACAUCACCUGAUCCAAUUCAGCCCCAAGUACAAGCCUGGCAGUCUGCCUGACCAGCACACACCAACCAUACUGGAGAUACCACUGGCACAGAUCAUGUCUAAGCUGACUCUGGGCGACAUGAACAUGCUGCUGUUCCGCUGUGACUCUGAGGAACAGGAGGACGGAGGAGGCUGCUACAACAUCCCUUCCUGGACCAGCUUCAAGUACGGUGGCCUGCAAGGUCUUCUGUCAGUGAUGGCGGACAUUCGUCCCAAGAACGACCUGGGCCACCCGGUGUGUGACAACCUGAGACAGGGGGACUGGAUGAUCGACUACGUCAGUAACAGGCUGGUGUGCCACAGUGGCGCUCUAGGAGAGGUGGGCAAGUGGCUCAAGGCGAUGUUCCAUUAUCUGAAGCACAUCCCUCGCUACCUCAUCCCCUGCUACUUUGAUGCCAUUUUAGUGGGAGUCUACACCACGGCUCUUGACACCACCUUCAACAAGAUGUCCAGUUUCGUCCAGAACGGCUCGACCUUUGUCAAACUGCUAGCUCUGGGCUCGGUCCAGAUGGGUGGUGUGGGAAGUUUCCCGGCUCUGCCUCCCUUGUCCCUGGAACUACCCGACGUCCCCUACCGCCUCAACAAGGACACCGGCAAGAAGGAGCAGUGCUGCAUCUCCCUGGCCGCAGGUCUGCCUCACUUCUCCUCUGGGAUCUUCCGCUGUUGGGGCCGAGACACCUUCAUCGCUCUGCGUGGACUCAUGCUGAUCACUGGUCGUCACCUGGAGGCUAGAAACAUCAUCCUGGCAUUUGCAGGCACCCUGAGACACGGUCUUAUCCCCAACCUGUUGGGCGAGGGCAUCUGUGCCCGCUUCAACUGCCGUGAUGCCGUGUGGUGGUGGCUGCAGUGCAUCCAGGACUACUGUACCUUGGUGCCCGAGGGCAUUGCCAUCCUCCGCUGCCCUGUGGUCAGGAUGUACCCCCGUGACGACUCUGAGCCCCAGGUCCCUGGCACUCCGUCCCUGCUCACACAGCUCUUGUGUGAUGUCAUCCACGAGGCCAUGCAACGUCACAUGCAGGGUAUCGACUUCAGAGAGCGCAACGCAGGACCAAAGAUCGACAUGCACAUGAAGGACGAGGGCUUCAAUGUUGUGGCCAAAGUGCACCGUGAUACUGGCUUUGUUUACGGUGGCAACCACUUCAACUGCGGAACAUGGAUGGACAAAAUGGGAGAGAGUGACAAAGCUCGCAACAAGGGCAUGCCUGCAACACCCAGAGAUGGGUCAGCGGUGGAGAUUGUGGGCCUCAGUAAGUCUGCGGUGCGCUGGCUGGUGGAGCUCCAUAAGAAGGGCCUGUUCCCCCACAGCUCCAUGAAAAUACACCGGGACGGUAAGGAGGUGAAGGUUUCCUAUGAGGAGUGGAACCACAAGAUCCUGGCCAACUUUGAGAGGAACUUCUAUGUGUCCCACGACGAGAAGGACCCCAACGAGAAGCACCCCGACCUGGUCCACAAGAGAGGCAUCUACAAGGACAGCCAUGGAGCCUCCAGCCCCUGGUGUGACUACCAGCUCAGGCCCAACUUUUGCAUUGCCAUGGUGGUGGCUCCGGAGUUGUUCACUGUGGAGAGAGCCUGGAGAGCCCUGGGAAUUGCUGAGAAGAAGCUGCUAGGACCUCUGGGAAUGAAGACGUUGGACCCAGAUGAUAUGGUGUACUGUGGUGUCUAUGACAACGCCCUGGACAACGAUAACUACAACGUGGCCAGAGGUUUCAACUACCACCAAGGACCGGAGUGGCUAUGGCCAAUUGGGUACUUCCUGCGAGCAAAGCUCUAUUUUGCCAAGAAGCUUGGGAAGGAGACCUAUGAACAGACAGUGUACCUGGUGAAGAGCAUUCUCUCUCAGCAUUAUGUCCACCUGGAGAGGUCUAGCUGGAAGGGUCUGCCAGAGCUGACCAAUGAGAAUGGCCAGUACUGUCCCUUCAGCUGCGAAUCACAGGCCUGGUCCAUCUCCACGGUGCUGGAAGUCCUCCACGACAUAUAGCACCUUACUUCCUGUGGGUGGAGACUCGCCCCAUGAUCUAAUGUCCUCCUGUAGUCCGGCACUGUUUUAAUUCACCUUCAUAGUGUGGUGUUUGUUGUCUUGUUUUGGACCACGUGUACACCCUAUGCAUUAAACCUACUGGGCUCGCAAGUAUACAGUAAUGCCUUGUGAACACCAGCAAUUCUAGUGGUUGUGGACGGCAUUGGGAAAUUUUAGCUCACGGCCUCAUUUGACGGCUGACUUAGUUUUGUCAAGGUUUGAGUCCUGUGUUACAGUAGAUACAUGAGCUAAUGUUAAAGCACUUAAUGAUAAAGUAUUAAAGAUAAAGUAUUGGAAGGGUUUGGAAGACCGACUGUUUUUAAACCAGCUAACCUCAUAGGCAGUUGAACUUUAACCGUGUGCUGCCUGCACUGCGACCCGGUCCAUGGAGAUCCUUUUAAAGAUGGUAUCAAAAUGUACUGUACUAUGAAAUUAGUCAGGUGACAACCCAUUGCUGUGUGCUUCCAUGCCUUUUUAUUAGAGUUUAGAUCCCUAAAAAUAAACCUCUGUGGAAAGCAUCACUGUGACAGAAGAACUUGUAGAGUAGCUGUUCUAUCCAUAACCCACCCUAAAUGUGAUGCAUCGCUCCUUGUGAAUCUGGUGCCACUUUUUAUUGGUCAGCAUGCUCCCAGUUUAUAGUGUGAUUCAUAAGUGUGUCUGUCUACAUAGUGUUGUCACAUAAACAGUCUGCAACAUGA